AAUUGUGAUCCCAAAAAUUUUAUCUUGAUUUAUAAAGACUUUUCUCCUCCCAUUUUGGCCAUUUGGCCGAAAUAAUCACAAGGGAAAAGGGAAGAGAAAUUUCCAUCAUCUUCUUCAUCCAAGCUUCAACCACCAUAGCCAAUUCCUUCACACCUCUUCAAUUUAUUCGGGUUUCAAGAAGAAUUUGGGGGAAAUCACUCAAAGACUCUUUCUAAGGAUUUUAGUAGCUAAUUGAGAUGUCAUCCAGUGAGGGAUCCUGUAGCCCGGCAAACACUCCUGAUCAUGUUUGCCCGGGACCUACUUUUGUUGGUCAGAUUCUGCAUGACACGUCGGGCAGAGACCCGUAUUCUCCACCCUAUUCUCAAGGCUACUCUCCAGGCUAUACUCCAGCAUCCCCUGACUAUACUCCAGCAACCCCAGUCAGCCCAGUAAAUAUCUUUUGGUAACCUUAGUUUUGGCUGACUCUAGUCUGUUAGGUUGUGGAGGACCCGGAGUUUGUAAUGACAGCCCGUCGGGCAAACUCUUGUAGAUAUCUUUUGAUAUUAAUAUAUAUAUAUAUACCUAAAAUAUUAUAUUUUGA